rnacentral:rRNA from 1 species
GACGAACGCUGGCGGCGUGCUUAACACAUGCAAGUCGAACGGUAAGGCCCUUCGGGGUACACGAGUGGCGAACGGGUGAGUAACACGUGGGUGAUCUGCCCUGCACUUCGGGAUAAGCCUGGGAAACUGGGUCUAAUACCGGAUAGGACCACUGCCUGCAUGGGUGGUGGUGGAAAGCUUUUGCGGUGUGGGAUGGGCCCGCGGCCUAUCAGCUUGUUGGUGGGGUGAUGGCCUACCAAGGCGACGACGGGUAGCCGGCCUGCGAGGGUGACCGGCCAAACUGGGACUGAGAUACGGCCCAGACUCCUACGGGGGGGAGCAGUGGGGAAUAUUGCACAAUGGGCGCAAGCCUGAUGCAGCGACGCCGCGUGAGGGAUGACGGCCUUCGGGUUGUAAACCUCUUUCAGCACCGACGAAGCGCAAGUGACGGUAGGUGCAGAAGAAGGACCGGCCAACUGCGUGCCAGCCGCCGCCGUAA